CAGAUGAUGAGGAGGGUUCUUCCGGAUGCCUUGCUGCAGGUUCUCUGUCUCUGAGCAGGCUUGAGUAGUUCUUGUGUUGUGCUUUGAGUGCUGCUGCCGGGUGCUGUAAGGAGAAUUCAGAAGAGCACUGAGGUCGCGACAUCGUGAGCGCAGAGUCACUGCCCACAACGGGAAGGAGCAGGCUGCUGAGCAGUGGGAUCUGUAACAGAAAAAAGAUUUGCACGUGAAGCAUGGCUUCUGCCUUCAGACUAGAACAGGAGGAACAGUUUACAGUGUAGCCUGCACAGUGAAACAGGAUAGGCAAUAACUAGACCACAGACUAAAUGUAAGGGAGUCAUCUGCAGAGCCACCGCUAUGAAGAAAGACCUGAUUCAAGCAGGUAUCAUGCUUUCUCUUGUACACUUGGAUGAGAUAUUUUAGAAUGCAAUGACCUAUGAGGAUGUGCACGUGAACUUCACUCAGGAAGAGUGGGCUUUGCUGGAUCCUUUUCAGAAGAGUCUCUACAAAGAUGUGAUGUUGGAGACCUACAGGAACCUCACUGCUAUAGGUUACAAUUUGGAAGAUCAUGCUAUUGAAGAACAUUGUCAAAGUCCCAGAAGACAUGGAAGGCAUAAAAGAAGUCAUACUGGAGAGAAAACCUUUGAAUAUACUCCAUGUCGUAAAGCCUUUGCAUAUCAGAGUCACCCUCAAAGGAAUGAAAAAAUUCAUACUGGAGAGAAACCCUAUAAAUGUAAUCAAUGUGGUCAAACCUUUGCACAUUACAGUCAUCUCCGAAUACAUAAAAAAACACACACUGAGGGGCUGGGGAUUUAGCUCAGUGGUAGAGCGCUUACCUAGGAAGCGCAAGGCCCUGGGUUCGGUCCCCAGCUCCGAAAAAAAAAGAACCAAAAAAAAAAAAAAAAAAAACACACACUGGAGAGAAACCCUAUGAAUGUAACCAGUGUGGUAAAGCCUUUGUAUGUCAUAAUCAUCUCCGAAUACAUAAAAGAAUACAUACUGGAGAGAAACCCUACAAAUGUAAUCAAUGUGAUAAAGCCUUCUCAUAUCACAAUAGUCUCCAAAUGCAUAAAAGGACACACACUGGAGAGAAACCCUAUGAAUGUAACCAAUGUGGUAAAGCCUUUGUACGUCAAAGUCAUCUUCAAAGGCAUAAAAGAAUUCAUACUGCAGAGAAACCUCAUGAAUGUAUUUAAUAUGGUGAAGACUUUGCACAUUUAUAUAGUCUUCAUCAUCAUAAAAAUAUUCAUACUGGAGAGAUUCUACACAUGUAAGCAAUGUGGUACAGCCUGUGUCUUAUGAGUCCACUUAGAACCAAUACAACUCCAAUACCAAGUCAAUGCAGAUGACAAGAAUUUAUUGUAAUCAAUCUGAUCAAUCAGGACUGUGGAAUAUACUCAGGAGCUCACCUGCAACCCAUGUUAAUAAGGUUUUAAUUUUGAAAACCACAAACAUCUGUGACAAGUGACAGAUACAUUUUUCCAACACUCUGCAUUUAGGGAUAGGGGCUUUCUUUAUGUGACUGUACAGUGUCAAUGGAUAUAGAAUAUAGGUGUUACCAUCUAACCAAUCAUAUCCAUUUGUUCUUUUGCCAUUGAGAAUAGUCAUGUUUUAUGAAAGAAAAGAUGAAUGACAGAAGCUGUUCAGCUAUUGGUAAUUCUCCAGCUCCCCUAGAACCUAGGAACUUUAACAUAGUUUCAUUCCAUGAUUAAAUAGAGUCCAGCAACAAAAAGGCUGUACUUAAAACACGUUUCUUUCGCUUGUUCCCAAAAUUUGUAUAUCAUAGUUCUCUACAAAUACAUGAAAGAACACAUCCUGGAGAGAAACACUAUGAAUAUAAGCAGUGUGAUAAAGCCUUUUCUGGCAGGGGCCAUGCAGGGACCAGAGUAUGAGUGUUUCACUGAUAGGAUUCUCCUGUGGCAAAGUCCAUGGUAAUCUCUUCCCACUUAACAAAGACCUGGGGUGAAUUCAGUAGCCUCUGUGCUUAUCAUCUAGAUCGUGUGUGCUACAAGCUCUCCUUGCUUUUGCUAUGUUAUUAAUACUCAAAAAUGUUUGUUUUCACCUUUCAAUCAUGGGCGAGGCUGGGUUCAUGUAGGCUGAAAAUUCUAUGAGUGAUUCUGUGUUUUUCUCAAUACUCUUUCAAGGAGUAAAGGCUUCGUCUCUUUUCUUUGCCUCUAUUGGUCCUCCAGAUGCGACCAUUAAUCCUGAGUAUUUGGGGGCACGUAAUCAUGUCCUAGAAAAAUAGCUACAGUCACACUGAGUAAGCCUGCGGCAGUUGUAGAGAGCAGUGGUUCCUGCUUGCAUAAGUGUUCUGAGGAAGCUAUGCCUGAUACACAGAGACUUAAAAUGGGGAAGCUGUGGCUGAUCAAUAGAAACUUAAAAAAGGUUCUUAGAAAGAAGGUAUCAAAUUGAUAGGUGCUUAUUAGGAAACAUUGCUUGGUACAAUGAGCACAUCUCUAUGUGCAAUUAAGAAAGUAUUAUGACAAAGGGAUGCUAUUUGAUGAAUGGACUUAUACUCACAACUGUUUAAUGUGUUUCACCUUGCAUAGCUCAAUAACCAGCUACCAGCUGGGUAUGUGCUCAUGUCCACAGGAUAUUUCUGGCUGGAUAUUUAUUUUUGGCUUGCUUUAAUUGUGCUUUGUAGUGCAAAAUGAGGUUAGGAACUAAUUCACCUAGCAGGAGAUGGGAAGGGGGAAGAAAAACUACUGGGGGCUUUUACAGUGAUGGGGCUUUUAUGAUGCUGAUGUUAUGAUUUCAUUUAAGCAGAACAACCAAUGAUAUCACUGCUCAUGGGAACAGGCUUGUGACUGUAUAAAGAAAAGUGGGUCGAGCUAUUCAGUGCCACUUGGUUGAAAGUCAACCAACAGGCAGUCAAGAGUCUUCACUUUUGCCAAGACCAUACAUCUAUCCUCAGGUUCCAGAACCCCACCAGAGAUGGACUCCAGCACUUCUCACAGCACAAUUAUCUACAAAUACAUAAACUAAUACAUCCAGAGAGACAAUAUAUAAAUGUCAACAAUGUAGUAAAGCCUUUGCAUGUAGCAGUAGUCUUACAAAAUAGGAGAAAAAGUCAAACUGCAGAGAAAUUCCAUAAACACAGUCAAUGUGGUAAAGUUUCCUAGGAUCUUCACACAGGAGUAAAACCUUUAGUGUAUGAUCAGUCUGUUAAAGCCUUUGCAUAUCUCAGUAGUCUUUGAAGUCCUGAAAGAACUGAUAGAGAAGGAAAUCUAUGACUAUAAAACAUUUGGUAAGAUCUUUUAAAUCACUGCACACACUAUUGAAAGAUUAAGAGAAAUCUCUUUAAUGACAGCAUACAUUCAGCUCUGGCUAAUACUCAAAUAAGAGCUGGCUGAGAGUAGAUUUUAUUUUCCUCCUAUGCUGUCACCCUUAAGUCUCUUUUAGGUUCAGGCCCCAGGUUACGUUUUGAACAAUUUAAAUAUGGACUAGGGACCACAAGUGUAGCCACUUAGACAGACAUUUACACAGCAAAUACUUUCCGAGAAUUACUUUAUAAGUACACCAGUGCCUUGAAAUGAUUUCCUUGGUCAAAAGCAAUACCGUGUGGAAUACCAUGCCACUAAAUAAGCCAUUCUAUAAGUCCAUGGAUGCUGGUUUUGGCAGAAGCAUUAUGUGCAGGAAAGACAAAUUCAUAGCCAGAAUAAGUAUCUACUCCAGUAAGAAGAAAACAUUGUCCUUUCCAUGGAGGAAGUGGUCCAGUGUAGUCAACCAGCCACCAGGUUGAUGGCUGGUCACCUUGAGGAAUGGUGUUAUAUCUGGGGCUCAGUGUUGGUCUCUGCUGUUGGCAGAUCUGGCAUUCAGCAGCAGCUGUAGCCAGGUCAGCCUUGGUGAAUGGAAGUCCGUGUUGUUGAGUCCAAGCAUAACCUCCAUCUUGGCCACCAUGUCCACUUGGUUCCUGUCCCCAUUGACCAAUGAGAGGAUUGGCAGGUAAAAGAGUCUGACUGUCCACAGAACAUGUCAUCUUAUCUAGUUGAUUAUUGAAUUCCUCCUCAGCUGAAAUCACCCUCUGGUGAGCAUUUACAUGGCACACAAAUAUCUUUGCCCAUUUGGAGAGAUCCAUCCACAUACUUCUCCAGAUGUCUUUCUCACCAAUUUUCCAAAUGUGAUCUUUCCAAGUCCCUGACCAUCCAGCCAAACCAUUGGCUACAGCCCAUGUGUCAGUGAACAAUCAUGUACAUCUGGCCAUUUCUUCUUUCGCACAAACUGUAAUACCAGGUGUACUGCCCGAAGUUCUGCCCAUUGUGAAGAUCUUCCUUCACCUGUAUCUUUCAGGGUUGUCCCGGAAAGGGGUUGUAAUUCUGCAGUUGUCCACUUCCGGAUGGUGCCUGCAUAACAUGCAGAGGCGGCAGUAAACCAGGUCCUAGUCUUCUUCAGUCAGCCAAUCAUAGAGCACACCCCCAUAAGGCUAUAAGUGCAUGCUUAGCAGCAGAUGGCAUUGUAACAAGAGUAGAAACCAUAGGCAUUUGGGCAACUUCUUCAUGUAAUUUGCUUGUGCCUUAAAGAACUGCUCAGGCCCAAUCACAUAUACACCACUUCUAUUUGAUACCAGACCGCUGCUGUCCAUGUCCUACUUUCUCACUUGGAGAGUCUGAUAACACCCAGCUCAUGAUGGGCAGUUCAGGUCACAUGGUAACUUGGUGUCCCAUUGCGAAAUGUUCAGUUUUUACUAAGACCUAACAGCAGGCCCAGAGCUGUUGUCUGCGGAUGAUGGUAUAGCUUUGCUCCAAAAUACCAAAGGUAUCUUCUGUGAUCCAUCUACAGAGGCCAGCCAGAGGUUCCAAACGGCAACUCUAUCUGCCACAAAAACCUCGAGUAUCAUAUGGUUUGCUGGAUCAUAUGGUCCAAGUAGUAGGGCAGCCUGGACCUGUUGAAGAGCUUUCUGUUCCAGGCCCCAUAAAAGGCCGUUGGCUUUCCUAGUCACUUGGUAAAUGUGCCUGAGUAACACACCCAAGUGAGGAAUGUGCUGUGUCCAGAAUGUAAAUACACCCACUAAAUGUGCUUCUCCUCCUAUUGAUGCCAGACAAUGCAAUCCUCUGCUACAUAUGUGUGGCUGGAACCAUGGGUCCCUCCUUGUGUACUCUUUGGUUGGUGGUUUAGUGCCUGAGAACUCUGAGGUCUGGUUUGUCAAUAUUGUUGUCCUUCCUAUGGGGUUGCAAACCCCUUCAGCACCUUCAGUCUUUUCUCUAACUCCUCCAAUGGGGUCUGCAUGAUCAGUCCAAUGGUUAGCUGCAGACAUCCUCAUAUGUAUCAGUAGGGCUUUAGCAGAGCCUCUCAGAGACAUCCAUAUCAGGCUCUUGUCAGCAAGCACUUCUUGGCAACAACAAUAGUGACUUGGUUUGGUGGCUGAAUAUGGGAUGGAUCCCCUGGUAGGACAGUCUCUGGAUGACCUUUCCUUCAGUCCCUGCUCUACUCUUUGUCCCUGUAUUUCCUCUUGUGAGUACUUUGUUCCCCCUUCAAAGAAGACUGAAGCAUCCACAUUUUGGUCUUUCUUCUUCUUGAACUUCAUAUGGUCUGUGAGUUUGAAUGCCAACUUCUAAGUAUAUCUAUCCCAAUUAUACAUUCUGGAACAGGGGAUAUGACCACAGGAUGUGUCAGGGACCUAUUGGACCUACUGUGAGUUGAGCAUCAGUCAAACCUCAAUUAAACCCCUGUCCUCCAUAAGCCCCUACUUUAACUGGAGGGCCACAGUAUUUUUUGGGAUCUGCUGGGAUCAGAACCAGUAUCCGAUAGACCCCAGAAAGCCUGAUUAUUUCCUUUCCCCAGUGUACAGUUACCCUUAUAAAAGGCUGUAAGUCUCGCUGGAGAAGAACUGGAAAGAGGCUAAUAGCAAAAUUUUAGGUGUCUUAUCAAGAUCCUUCCUCUGGGGAACCUGGCCACCCCUUCAUUAAAGGGGUUCUGGGUCUGCAAACCGACUCAAGUCUGGAAAUUGAUUCACUGGCCAAGAUUGCCUUUUGCCAGGAUCCAAUGUAGCCUCUCUUUCAUUUCAUUUGUUUGAGAAUUUGUCUGCUUAUAGAGAUAAAACAGAUAUGCAGUAAGCUUCUUAUCUAUUUCAGGUCUUAAAACACCAUGUCUGAUUAGGCACUACCAAAGGUCCGAACGAGUUAUGCCAUUGUACAUUUCUCCUCUCCUGUGCUGAUCAUUACAGGCUAUGUCAUUAUAAACGUUGUUUGUCUACUCUGUCUAUUAUAAUAACUACGAUCACCUUGUCUCUGGUGAUUCAAUGCUGCCACCUGGCCCUUGUUACCUUAUGGCCAGGUGGCAGCAUUGAAUUUAAUUCAUCUAAUUCGGCAACAUCUACAACCCUAAGGUCUGGCACACAGAAAAGGGCAAGAACAACACUUUUCAAAUGGUUGGUGCCCCUCUCACCAGAUUGCAUCUUAUAGGAUUCGUGAAGGCCAUAUCUUCUGGGCCUUCCCAUUGUGGAGGAUUAGGUUUUACCCAACCUAUCUACUCUGGCAUUGCAAUUUCCCUGAGCCUUGUGACUUCAUCUGGGUUCAGGUAAACUGCAGCUACUUCUCACCUGGUAGGUCUGAGACAAGCCUGGGAGAAAAGCAGGAAACAGGACAAACACUGUGGAGCACAGUUGUUAGCUGGGACAUCUUCCUCAAUGGAAAAGUGGAAAAACAAAACAAAAACCACACAUGCACACACGGCUAUAUUACCAAAGAUUCUGUUAAUGAACAGAACUGAUAGAAUGAAUCUCUGUAUGCAUGUUAAAAGCGGAUUUACUAGAAUGUCUCACUAACAGUGGCUGUCUUCCAAUGGAAAGUUGAAGAAUCCAAUGUGCUUAAGUCUAUGUGGCUGGAUGUCUGUCUGUCUUCUCUAUAUACCAGAGUUUCAAAGAAGUAGCCUUUUUAAUGCCAGAAAAAGAAAAGAAAAGAGAGAAAGAAGAAAAGGCAAGAAAGAACUUGCUAGCCCGAGGUAACGUAAGUAGACAAAGAGAAUGAGCUACCAUCUUCAGUGUUCUUUAUAUAUGUAAGCUGCCACCCGAAGCUUUGGCCUAGAGAAAAGGUGGAUCUUAACAACUCAAAAAAUCUAGAUUAAAGAAGGGUUUUCACGUUUCAAAAGCUAUAAUUAAGAGUAAUCCCCCCCCCCACAGUACCUAAACUCUUUCAGUUUCAGUUAAUUCCACAUGUAGUCAGUUUGAAUACAAGGAAUAGCCAUCAUGUAAGACAAGACAGAAGAACUGAGAAAGAUUCCCCACCCACCCACCCCCUGUUGCAGGCAGGGAGAGAACAGGAAGUCAUUUCCAAAGCAAUGACUUCCUUCAAGAAAAUAAGCCCUGGGAUUUUACUGAAGGAAUCUGGCUAUGUUCAUAUAUAGGUUUCCCUACCCCUAUAUAUGUCACAUUAGUUCUGUGUGUGAAUGUGUGCUUAUCUUCCCACUGAAGAGGAUGUGCUGGCUAACACUAGUGUUCAUCAAGGUUUGUCUCCCAGGGUUCCAGUACCUACCAGUGAAAACUAGCUGCAGUUUACCUAAGCCCAGCACGAAGGAUUCAACCCAAGCCAAAUUAGAGUGUUUGCAGGUUUAUUGGGGGCAAUUCUCUAGUGGGCUCACUGUUCCCAAGGAUAGAGUUCACUAGUCCCAAAGAGGUCAGAAAAGUCGAUAUGGGGAGUAAGGAUAACAAA